AGAUUGAACGCUGGCGGCAGGCCUAACACAUGCAAGUCGAGCGGUAGAGAGGUGCUUGCAUCUCUUGAGAGCGGCGGACGGGUGAGUAAUGCCUAGGAAUCUGCCUAGUGGUGGGGGAUAACGUUCGGAAACGGACGCUAAUACCGCAUACGUCCUACGGGAGAAAGCGGGGACCUUCGGGCCUCGCGCCAUUAGAUGAGCCUAGGUCGGAUUAGCUAGUUGGUGAGGUAAUGGCUCACCAAGGCGACGAUCCGUAACUGGUCUGAGAGGAUGAUCAGUCACAUGGAACUGAGACACGGUCAGACUCCGUACGGGAGCAGCAGGUGGGAAUAGUUGGAACAAGUGGGACGAAAGCCUGACUCCGACGCCA
rnacentral:rRNA from 1 species